rnacentral:rRNA from 1 species
UACGGGGGGGGUAAGCGUUGUUCGGAAUUACUGGGCGUAAAGGGCUCGUAGGCGGCCAACUAAGUCAUACGUGAAAUCCCUCAGCUUAACUGGGGAACUGCGUGUGAUACUGGAUGGCUUGGAUUUGGGAGAGGGAUGCGGAAUUCCAGGUGUAGCGGUGAAAUGCGUAGAGAUCGGGAGGAACACCAGUGGCGAAGGCGGCCUUCUGGGCAUUUCCUGACGCUGAGGCGCGAAAGCGUGGGGAGCGAACCGG